AGAAGGUAAAACCACUAGCGGAAGCAAAACGUCGGGGUUGGACGUCCCUAGUGAGGCCAGCCGGGACAUCACUGAUCCCUCUCCUCGCCGUCCGAGGAGGGAUCCCACUCGACCGUCCAACCCGGAAGGAGCUGGGGCGGCCAAGUGCCAGCGGGAGAAGGGUCGGGAGCAGCAACUUCACCUGAAAAACGGGAGCCACAACAAGGCUGAGCUACUAAGCUCAACAAGACUUAACCGACAGGAGUAAAGCUACUCCACACUUCUAGACAUGCAAGGCUUUUUGGCAGAGGGGUUUGUUUGCCAAAAGCACUAAAUAGAACCUUAGUUUCAAGUUUUAGCUCAGGUUCUAAGUUCAUUAUCC
rnacentral:lncRNA from 1 species